UACGGAGGGUGCGAGCGUUGUCCGGAAUCACUGGGCGUAAAGGGCGCGUAGGCGGCUGAAGGAGUCGGUGGUGAAAGCCCGUGGCUCAACUGCGGGUCGGCCACCGAUACUCUUCAGCUCGAGUUUGGUAGAGGCAGAUGGAAUUCCGGGUGUAGCGGUGGAAUGCGUAGAGAUCCGGAAGAACACCGGUGGCGAAGGCGGUCUGCUGGGCCAAGACUGACGCUGAGGCGCGACAGCGUGGGGAGCAAACAGG
rnacentral:rRNA from 1 species